rnacentral:rRNA from 1 species
CCUACGGGAGGCUGCAGUGGGGGAUAUUGCACAAUGGGGGAAACCCUGAUGCAGCGACGCCGCGUGGAGGAUGAAGGUUUUCGGAUUGUAAACUCCUUUUGUUAGAGAAGAUAAUGACGGUAUCUAACGAAUAAGCACCGGCUAACUCCGUGCCAGCCGCCGCGGUAAUGCGGAGGAGGCGAGCGUUAUCGGGAUUUAUGGGGUUUAAAGGGUGCGUAGGCGGAUCGUGAAGUCAGUGGUAAAAUUGAGGGGCUAAACCCUGUAGCGCCAUUGAAACUGGCGUUCUUGAGUGGAAGAGAGGUAUGCGGAAUGUGUGGUGUAGCGGUGAAAUGCAUAGAUAUCACGCAGAACCCCGAUUGCGAAGGCAGCAUGCCGGCUUCCGACUGACGCUGAAGCACGAAAGCGUGGGGAUCGAACAGGAUUAGAUACCCCUGUAGUC